UAAAAAGUCGUAACAAGGUCUCCGUUGGUGAACCAGCGGAGGGAUCAUUGCAGAGUUUAUUCAACUCAUAACCCUUUGUGAACUUAUUCCGCUCUGUUGCUUCGGCAGGCGGGUGCUGGUCAAAAGCUGGAGUGCGGUUCUUCGGAGCGGCUCUGCUUAGGCGCCCCACUGGCCCCUGCGCUCCGGCGCUAGGGUGUCUGCCGAAGGCCAUCUAGGCGCUGAUUAUUUAUUAUUGUGUAAAGAAGACUUUUUUUUUAGUGGGCAACUACGAAAAAAAAGUUGGAUUUUACUGUUUUAUUUCAAAACAAAAAACAAAUCAAAUUACAACUUUUAGCAAUGGAUCUCUUGGUUCUGACAUCGAUGAAGAACGCAGCGAAAUGCGAUACGUAAUGUGAAUUGCAAAUUUCAGUGAAUCAUCGAAUCUUUGAACGCACCUUGCGCCCGUUAGUAUUCUAGCGGGCAUGCCUAUUCGAGCGUCAUUUCUACCCUCAAGCUCCGGCUUGGUGUUGGAAGACUUGGUUAUUUUUCCUUUUAGGAAACGGCCAAACUUCUGAAAUAGAGCGGCGACAGUGCUUUCUGGCCGUCCCCUGCAAAGUAAAUUUAUACUGGCAGUUUUGGGAUCCAGGCAUGUGUUAGCCUCUAAAAACCAAAUAUUUCAAUAGUUGACCUCGAAUUAGGUAGGAAUACCCGCUGAACUUAAGCAUAUCAAUAAGCGGAGGAA
rnacentral:rRNA from 1 species